AAAUUGAAGAGUUUGAUCAUGGCUCAGAUUGAACGCUGGCGGCAGGCCUAACACAUGCAAGUCGAACGGUAACAGGAAGAAGCUUGCUUCUUUGCUGACGAGUGGCGGACGGGUGAGUAAU
rnacentral:rRNA from 2 species